rnacentral:rRNA from 1 species
CUGUUAUCCCUAAAGUAACUUAAAUUUUCAAUCAAUAAUAAUGGAUCAAAUAACCAAAAAUAAUUGUAAUUAUAAAUUAAAAGUUAUAUAAAUUUUAAUAUCACCCCAAUAAAAUAAUACAAAUUAUUAAAAUAAAAUUUUUCAAAAAAAUUAUAAUAAUUUAAUUAUAAAGAUUUAUAGGGUCUUCUCGUCUUUUAAAAAAAUUUUAGCUUUUUUACUAAAAAAUAAAAUUUUAUAAAAAUUUUAAUUGAAACAGUUAAUAUCUCGUCCAAUCAUUCAUUCCAGCCUUC